rnacentral:rRNA from 1 species
UACGUAGGGGGCAAGCGUUGUCCGGAAUCAUUGGGCGUAAAGCGCGCGCAGGCGGACUGUUAAGUAGGGCGUGAAAUCUCCCGGCCUAACUGGGAGGGGUCGCCCUAAACUGGCAGUCUUGAGGACAGCAGAGGUAGGUGGAAUUCCUGGUGUAGUGGUGAAAUGCGUAGAGAUCAGGAGGAACACCGGUGGCGAAGGCGGCCUACUGGGCUGUCUCUGACGCUGGAGGCGCGAAAGCUCGGGGGAGCGAACGGG